UUCUCCCCCCUACCCUUCCCCGCUGCCACCCUUCCCCCACCCCAGCUCCACGUUGGCCUCCACCGACGAGCCGGCACCCACUCACCAGCGGCCCCUUGUGCUGCUCUCCCGAAAAUCUCGCAACGCCCGUGAACCCGCCGGCUACGCGAGUCCGCCGUAAGCCCGAGGCCUGCGAUUCCGUGACUAUGGAAACAGCCCACAUUGCCCACAAAGACAGCAUUGACACAGGAUAUUGGAGGACUGAAUAGAGACCAUCUCAAUGUUUUCAACAAAACACGGGUCUGGAGCGGCGUUUCCUGCCGGGG